UCAAACUUGGUCAUUUAGAGGAAGUAAAAGUCGUAACAAGGUUUCCGUAGGUGAACCUGCGGAAGGAUCAUUAUUGAAUAAGCUUGAUUUAGAUUGUUGCUGGCUUUUUUAAAAAAGCAUGUGCACAUCUAUCUCAUCUUUAUUAACCACCAUGUGCACUUUGUGUAGAUUUGAAAUGACUCUCGAGAUACAAACUCGGACUGCGAAUAUGCUGAGCCAAUUUUUAUUGGUUCAACUUUUCUUGUAGUUUCAAAUCUAUGUUUCAAUACAUAUACUCUUUAUAAAAAGUAUUGAAUCGUCAUUCAAGUUCAGGCACAUCUUGUCUGAAUAUAUAUAUAAAUAUACAACUUUCAACAACGGAUCUCUUGGCUCUCGCAUCGAUGAAGAACGCAGC
rnacentral:misc_RNA from 1 species